UUCAAUUUAAGCAUACGGAGCGCGUCUGCCGAUCGAACCUGAUAAAUUGCAACAUUAACAAAGUGAAUCAGUCUUUUACGAGAACGAGCCCAGUUAAGAAGUCGCACGAGUUUUAUUGAAAAAAUAAAAAAAAAAUAUUUCUUGACAAAUAAAAAAUUAAAAACAAAACAAAUAAAAGAUAAGAUAAUACAAUAAUCACCUGUGAAUUGGACGAUAAUUGUUGGAAUAAAUAAAUAUUUAUUUGGAGUUUCGCAGUGUAAAUUAUUUUUUUUUAAACGACGUACGUUCAGUGUAAAAGCGUCGAGUGCCAAGAAAACAUCUUAGAUCACGUUUAAUUACCGGUAUUGUGAUAACUUAUACUAAUUGCUUGUUUAAGCUGAACGAUAAUAAAUAUUUCCAGUGCUGAGUGAUGAUAACAUCACACCUGUAGUUGUAUAGUGAAACAUAGAAAGAAGAGCACGUCUUUGGAGAAAACAGAAGAGGCUAUUUACUGUCUGGAUAAUUUAGUGGAUUGUUUGCGUUCCUGUCUGAUCACCAGACGAUCGAGCGAGCCGCGCGAAGAAGACCCCGAAACACUAGAUCUCAAGGAGCUACGAGCAAAAAUGGCAUUUUCCAUCCAACUGCCCCGCCAGCCGGUCGAAGGUGACGAAAUUGAAAUCUGCGGAGUCGUACAUGAACCGUUACAUGUAUUUUCCAUCAAUUUGACACAAAGUCCGCGUCACAAAGCGAUCGGCUACCAUCUAAAAGUGGAUUACGACAAAGGCCAGAUUGUGCAUGAUUGGCGCGACUCGCAUGGCUGGCAGCACGCACACAUCCAGGAACUCGGAACCACCGCAAUGGGCAAUCACGACCAGGUCAAUGGCUUCCGAUUUCUCUUCAGAUUCCGCCGAAAUGCAGUGGACGUGUUCGAGGAAGGCGACAAUUUCCUCAAAUCGCACGAAAUCAAGUUGGGCCUUAAAAAUAUCAACUACCUUGAGGUGUGGGAGGACACACGGCAAAGCAACAACCAGUUAGUUCAAAUCGUAAAACUGAAUUUCUUAUUCAAGCAUCACGGUAUGUGAACGAAGAUGAGGAGAAACGAAAAACGAUUGAACACCAAAAAAAGAUGUAAAUACGUCAUUUUUACAUUUCACGUAUAUCAAGUUACUUCAAAAGUAUUUUUAUUUAUUUUUUUAAUAAUUUUUUUUUCGUUUUAACACUAGAUACUUUUUGUUUAAAAAUUACAAAUAAAUUAUUUUACGUC